UUUAAGUUUGGACUUUUAAGCACUUUUUGAAUUGGAUCGAUACAGAGAAGAUUAGCAUGGCCCCUGCGAAAGGAUGACACACAAAUCCGUGAAGCGCUCCAUCUUUUU
ensembl:snRNA U6 U6 spliceosomal RNA